UGAAUCCUCAUUCGACAAAAUGUACCCCACUCCCCUGGCAUAUAAUGAUUUUAUCGCUUUUUAUUUCUUUAAUUCCUUGACUGUUUAUUUAGCUACUAACAAAAGAAUAAAAUCAACCAUUUCCAAAAAUAUAAAAAAAAUAAGACCCGAUCCAACGUCGAGUAUUUUCUCAAUCAACAAAUCAAUUCACUUCUUCCUCCCAUUCUAUUCCAUUUCUUUCAAACCUUCAUCAAAUGCUUGAUCCAACGUCAAGC
rnacentral:lncRNA from 1 species